AGCCAGACUCCUACGGGAGGCAGCAGUAGGGAAUCUUUCGCAAUGGGCGAAAGCCUGAUGGAGCAACGCCGCGUGCAGGAUGAAGGCCUUCGGGUUGUAAACUGCUUUUAUAAGCGAGAAAUAUGAUGGUAACUUAUGAAUAAGGAUCGGCUAACUACGUGCCAGCAGCCGCGGUAAUACGUAGGGGGCAAGCGUUAUCCGGAUUUACUGGGUGUAAAGGGAGCGUAGGUGGCGUGCCAAGUCAGGAGUGAAAACCCAGGGCCCAACCCUGGGACUGCUCUUGAAACUGGCAGGCUUGAGUGCUGGAGAGGUAAGCGGAAUUCCUAGUGUAGCGGUGAAAUGCGUAGAUAUUAGGAGGAACACCAGUGGCGAAGGCGGCUUACUGGACAGUGACUGACACUGAGGCUCGAAAGCGUGGGGAGCAAACAGGAUUAGAUACCCCAGUAUUG
rnacentral:rRNA from 1 species